GGGACACAAGAUGGAGCAAAGAAUCAGAGCGAAAGUUGAAGACUGAAAAAAGGAGUAGUUUCAAGUUCUUAGUCAACUCAGACUGAGACUAAGUCGACUAAGUUGAAGGUGAGUCGAUUCAGUCUCAGUCUGAAUUAACUAUAUCUCAGAGAACAAAAAGUAGGAUCUCAGGUAAACUGUGGUACGACAUGCAGGUGAGUCGACUCAAGGCUAGUUUGAGUUG
rnacentral:lncRNA from 1 species